CUAUCAAUUUAGAAACAAUGGAUACAGUUGUGCUCUUUAUUGCAAUUUUCCCUUUAAGUGUCCUCUCCCAGACUUUACGAGAAUCAGGCCCAGGGAUUGUAAAACCUUCACAACAAAUAAAAUUCACCUGUACCGUGUCUGGGUUUGAGUUAUCCAGCUGGAGUGUAGACUGGAUUAGACAACUGCCUGAAUCGAAAUUGGAGUGGAUUGGAGUUAUAUGGGGUGGUGGGAGCACUGACUAUGCUGAUUUACUAAAAAAAAGACUCUCAAUCACCAAAGACAAUGCAAAGAAAGAGGUCUACUUGCAAAUCAAUGGAGCAGAAAUUAAAGAUUCUGGAACAUAUUACUGUGCGAAACGCACGGCAACAGAAAGUAACUGACAGGGUGCUCAAUAUCCCAUUUCAUAUCUGUGUGGUAACCCACAUAGAGGAAGAGGAAGUAUAUUGCUUUCUGUUUUAUUACUAUACCUUGAGAAAGUAUGUGUUUUAAAACAUUUCAGUACA